GGUUUCGUGAUGUAAUGGUUAGCAUUGUGGACUCUGAAUCCACCCAUCCGAGUUCGAGUCUCGGCGAGACCU